GUGCUCUGGCCCCGUCCUGCCCCAAAGGCAGACUUUUUUAAAAGUGAGGCGGACACAAUCCAUUUGGCAAAACGGAAAUAACUGACCAGAGCACAAUGGCAUCAAGUGACUCCUCUCAUCAACACGAAUUCGAAGAUGGAGCUUUUUUUUUUAGCUACAUGGUGACAUUCAACCAUACAUGUUUCAACCGGAAUAUAGCGAAGAGGAUUCGAAACAAGGAGUUGGAUUUAGCUAGAGGCUCAGCUACAGCCAUUUACAGCACCAAGAGGGCAGAUGACAAAUACGGUGUCUAGCAAUACUGUGUGGUGCCUGGGUUUCUUUCUAGAGUGGAUUCUUAGAGAGAGAAGUAAUUCCUUUGCCUGCGCAUGUUAUUGUAGAACUGACUCCUGUGAACUGUAUCCCUCUCGAUGGAUUGGAUAUUAUGCUGGAUUUCAAGCAGAAGAUGACUCAAGAGGAGCUGAAUGGCAGUUUGAUCAUGACAACACACCUCCCACAGCUAUACAUUUGUUCUCUGAAUUUACUGUAUGUUUCUUUGGAAUAGCAAUUUUAUCAUGACCACCUCACCCAUCAUCUGCUGAUCAUCAGUUCUCUUAGCUACAAAUUGAUACACCAGACAAUGUGAUUUAACCAAAUAUGUUUGGUAUCCAUUACUGGGAGUUACAGGAUAGGUACUGUUUGGUGUAGCAUGGCAUUUUUGAUGGUGUCUUCGUCCUCGGUUUGUGGAAACAGGAGUCUCAGAAAAUGUCCAUGUCCAAUUGCAGGGGUUCAGUUUGAGUUUAGAAAAUGCUCAUUUAUUGUAACAAAUACUUAGCUAUAUAGACAAUUAUAGUGUUUUCCAGACAAGGGUGGAAUAGAUGGCUACCAGAUUGAGUUACUCUUAUUUGUUAACAUUAGCUAGCUUACGCUAGCUAACAUUAGUCCAAGAUAGAAAAAACAGACAAACAAACAUGCUUACUACUGCUGAAGGUAGCUACCAGUCUAGCAGUGACUACCAUGGCAUUGGCGAAAUUGAUUGACAGUGUGUAUCCAAAAGAUAGCUAGCAAUAUGAUUUUGCUGAUAGCUUUCAGAGUUACAAGACUGUAAUGUUUGCUAACGUAGAUCAUUUAACUAGUCCAGCUGACGUUACGCUACCUCGAAUUGAGAAUCUUUCAUUUUGUUGUGAAAGGAGAAAACGAUGGUAUCGCAUCACUUCUCAGCUAUCGUCAAAUGGAUUCCCCAUCUGUUCAGCCUGAAAAUCCCUCUGAUAAUCUUUGGUCACCGUAAGCAUCAUUCUUCAUAUCCGCAAACCACUGGCAGCAUCUGGAUAAAUCGAUACCUGAUAGGUAGAAAGGUGAAAGAUAACACAUUUUUGCGCUUGGUUCUAAUUAGGACAGCCAGACAGAAGACCACGCGGGCAUGAUGACAAACGUUAGUUAAAAAACAAACGUAUAAAAAAAAUGUGCCUGGAGAAGUUCUGAGAUUUCUGUGUGUUGUAAACAACGCCAUGUACCAAGUUUGUGGGUACACCCCAUCUACCUAACGGUGCUAUCUGCAUUCACUAUGAAUGCUGCCCUGACAAAAAAAACAUUGCCGUUUGGAAACUGAAGUAAAAGUGUUAUACUGCACUCUAACUGCAUUUGCACUGCAAAAUUACUGCAGUAAAAAAAGUAACUUUGGACGCAGUAUUUGCAGCAUACUGCUGUUACACUGCACUAUAAUUGCAGUUAUACUGCACUCUGACUGCAAUCUUUUUUUGUAAGGGUGGACUGUGGUUCACUAUGAGCAGACGAAUACACAGGAAUUCAAAACUUCCAGAUUCUACCGGUAAAAUGAAAAUGCGCUCUUUCUAGCUUGUGGUUUGGAUAAUGUUGAUGUUUAUGACAAAAAUGUAAUGUUGUCAAUAAAAUAAUGACUAUAUGCUGUGACA